AACGAACGCUGGCGGCAUGCCUAACACAUGCAAGUCGAACGAGACCUUCGGGUCUAGUGGCGCACGGGUGCGUAACGCGUGGGAAUCUGCCCUUCGGUUGGGAAUAACUGAGAGAAAUUUCAGCUAAUACCUUAUAAUGUCUUCGGACCAAAGAUUUAUCGCCGAGGGAUGAGCCCGCGUAGGAUUAGGUAGUUGGUGGGGUAAUGGCCUACCAAGCCGACGAUCCUUAGCUGGUCUGGGAGGAUGAUCAGCCACACUGGGACUGAGACACGGCCCAGACUCCUACGGGAGGCAGCAGUGGGGAAUAUUGGACAAUGGGCGAAAGCCUGAUCCAGCAAUGCCGCGUGAGUGAUGAAGGCCUUAGGGUUGUAAAGCUCUUUUACCCGGGAUGAUAAUGGCAGUACCGGGAGAAUAAGCUCCGGCUAACUCCGUG
rnacentral:rRNA from 1 species